rnacentral:rRNA from 1 species
ACUAACGUGCCAGCAGCCUGCGGUAAUACGUAGGGGGGCAAGCGUUGUCCCGGAAUUAUUGGGCGUAAAGCGCGCGCAGGCGGUUCCUUUAAGUCUGAUGUGAAAGGCCACAGCUCAACUGUGGAGGGCCAUUGGAAACUGGGGAACCUGAGGACAGAAGAGGAGAGCGGAAUUCCACGUGUAGCGGUGAAAUGCGUAGAUAUGUGGAGGAACACCAGUGGCGAAGGCGGCUCUCUGGUCUGUAACUGACGCUGAGGCGCGAAAGCAUGGGUAGCGAACAGGAUUAGAUACCCUGGUAGUCCAUGCCGUAAACGUUGAGUGCUAGGUGUUAGGGGGUCCAACCCUUAGUGCUGCAGUUAACGCAAUAAGCACUCCGCCUGGGGAGUACGGCCGCAAGGCUGAAACUCAAAGGAAUUGACGGGGGCCUGCACAAGCGGUGGAGCAUGUGGUUUAAUUCGACGCAACGCGAAGAACCUUACCAGGUCUUGACAUCUUCGGACAGCCCAAGAGAUUGGGUCUUCCCUUCGGGGACCGAAUGACAGGUGGUGCAUGGUUGUCGUCAGCUCGUGUCGUGAGAUGUUGGGUUAAGUCCCGUAACGAGCGCAACCCCUGAUCUUAGUUGCCAGCAUUGAGUUGGGCACUCUAGGAUGACUGCCGGUGACAAACCGGAGGAAGGCGGGGAUGACGUCAAAUCAUCAUGCCCCUUAUGACCUGGGCUACACACGUGCUACAAUGGAUGGUACAAAGGGAAGCCAAACCGCGAGGUCGAGCUAAUCCCAUAAAGCCAUUCUCAGUUCGGAUUGUAGGCUGCAACUCGCCUGCAUGAAGCCGGAAUCGCUAGUAAUCGCGGAUCAGAAUGCCGCGGUGAAUACGUUCCCAGGCCUUGUACACACCGCCCGUCACACCACGAGAGUUGGCGAUCUACC